GUAAGGAAUAUUGGUCAAUGGACGAAAGUCUGAACCAGCCAUGCCGCGUGGAGGAUGAAGGUCCUCUGGAUUGUAAACUUCUUUUAUAUGGGACGAAAAUGGGGCUUUCUAGCUCAACUGACGGUACCAUAUGAAUAAGCACCGGCUAACUCCGUGCCAGCAGCCGCGGUAAUACGGAGGGUGCAAGCGUUAUCCGGAUUCACUGGGUUUAAAGGGUGCGUAGGUGGAUUGGUAAGUCAGAGGUGAAAUCUCCGGGCUCAACUCGGCAACUGCCUUUGAGACUAUCAAUCUUGAAUAUUGUGGAGGUUAGCGGAAUAUGUCAUGUAGCGGUGAAAUGCUUAGAUAUGACAUAGAACACCAAUUGCGAAGGCAGCUGGCUACACAUAUAUUGACACUGAGGCACGAAAGCGUGGGGAUCAAACAGGAUUAGAUACCCUGGUAGUCC
rnacentral:rRNA from 1 species